AGCCCGCGGCCUAUCAGUUAGUUGGUGAGGUAACGGCUCACCAAGGCGACGACGGGUAGCCGGCCUGAGAGGGCGACCGGCCACACUGGGACUGAGACACGGCCCAGACUCCUACGGGAGGCAGCAGUGGGGAAUAUUGCACAAUGGGCGAAAGCCUGAUGCAGCGACGCCGCGUGAGGGAUGACGGCCUUCGGGUUGUAAACCUCUUUCAGCAGGGAAGAAGCGAAAGUGACGGUACCUGCAGAAGAAGCGCCGGCUAACUACGUGCCAGCAGCCGCGGUAAUACGUAGGGCGCAAGCGUUGUCCGGAAUUAUUGGGCGUAAAGAGCUCGUAGGCGGCUUGUCACGUCGGUUGUGAAAGCCCGGGGCUUAACCCCGGGUCUGCAGUCGAUACGGGCAGGCUAGAGUUCGGUAGGGGAGAUCGGAAUUCCUGGUGUAGCGGUGAAAUGCGCAGAUAUCAGGAGGAACACCGGUGGCGAAGGCGGAUCUCUGGGCCGAUACUGACGCUGAGGAGCGAAAGCGUGGGGAGCGAACAGGAUUAGAUACCCUGGUAGUCCACGCCGUAAACGGUGGGCACUAGGUGUGGGCAACAUUCCACGUUGUCCGUGCCGCAGCUAACGCAUUAAGUGCCCCGCCGUGGG
rnacentral:rRNA from 1 species